UACAGAGGGGGCAAGCGUUGUUCGGAAUUACUGGGCGUAAAGGGCGCGUAGGCGGCCUGCUAAGUCGAACGUGAAAUCCCCGGGCUCAACCCGGGAACUGCGUCCGAUACUGGCAGGCUUGAAUUCGGGAGAGGGAUGCGGAAUUCCAGGUGUAGCGGUGAAAUGCGUAGAUAUCUGGAGGAACACCGGUGGCGAAGGCGGCAUCCUGGACCGAAACUGACGCUGAGGAGCGAAAGCGUGGGGAGCGAACAGG
rnacentral:rRNA from 1 species